UAAUCAACAAGGCCAGGGACAGGGCUGGGGGCCGCAGAGGUUGGCUCGUCCGUCUGAUGUCAAGGAGCCCUGGAGACACGGCGCCCGGCCUGGAAGGGACGAGGACACGGGCAGGCGGGGCGUCCGGGAGGGUGUGAGCGCCACGCCCCCCGCCCGCGGGCGCACGGUCAGGUGAAGACCUCAGCUGCUCUGGCCCGUCUGCUGACUGCUGGACCGGGCUUCUCGAGGAGCCUCGGAGAUGGACCCCAAGGGCCCCCACCUGCACUGUAGUGAACUUCCCGGGGAGUCAGAUGGAGAUGAAGGAAGAGGGGGAGAGAAUGAGUGAGUCAGGGAGUGACAGCUCGUCAAAGGCUGUCCCCAGACCACAGACCGCGGAAGGUAGGAAUGACCAGGUGGCACCGGGACCGGCUGGGUGUGGAGAAAACUGAAACGGCCGUGCUGGUGGAGGCAAAGCUCUGUGACGUGGACAGAGUCCCCGCUUCCUCGGGACAAGGUCCUGCCCCUGCACGCUGCCCCGGGCAGUUUCUGAAGUGACCCACACCGGCUCCCUCCACUCCAUGCCAGAGACGCAAAGCUUCCGAGAGACACGCCGCCCGUGGCCCCAGCGCCCGCCACCCAGCACAGUCGUCCAUGCUGCCCGGAGACCCGAGGGGACCCUGCUGGGGGGCAAAGUCAGAGACAAGGAGUAAAGAUCCCUGUCGAUACCUCCUGAGCCUCCCGUGGGCCAGACCCGAGUGUUGUGCCGGCAUUCGCUCCCCCCUCCCCCGUCUCCACCUCCGCCUGUGGGGGGAGAAGGCUGUCACUACCCCCACUCUGCGGACGCAGAAACUGAGGCACAGAGGGGUGCAGGUCUCCCCAAGCCCACGUGAGCCUGGUCCUUGACCACCGAUGUCCUCCACAAAGAUGCUAACUCCCACUCGGGGCCCAGUCCUUGCAGUGGCACCGCCGCUGUGUCCUGCCUCUGCCUGUGGCCCCAUCCAGCCAAGGCCCUUGAGCAUCAUUCAGAUACUCUGCUCCCUGGGCCUCAAGAAGGCCCAUCCCCAGCCUCCCUCCUGAGCCCUCAGUGCCCCAGCCCCGGUGUCCACCUGAAAUAGCCCGUUCUCGGCCACAGGUGUCCCUGGGUGCCCCCGGGGGGCGCCGUCCAGCUGUGGGGGAGGGGCGGCGCCACGGGGACCCUGAACGAGCAGCCUCC